UACGUAGGGGGCUAGCGUUGUCCGGAAUCAUUGGGCGUAAAGAGCGUGUAGGCGGUCCGGUAAGUCCGCUGUGAAAGUCGGGGGCUCAACCUUUGAAAGCCGGUGGAUACUGUGAGGCUAGAGUACGGAAGAGGCGAGUGGAAUUCCUGGUGUAGCGGUGGAAUGCGCAGAUAUCAGGAGGAACACCAAUAGCGAAGGCAGCUCGCUGGGACGUUACUGACACUGAGGCGCGAAAGCGUGGGGAGCAAACAGG
rnacentral:rRNA from 1 species